GUGGGGAAUAUUGGACAAUGGGGGGAACCCUGAUCCAGCCAUGCCGCGUGUGUGAAGAAGGCCUUUUGGUUGUAAAGCACUUUAAGCGAGGAGGAGGCUACCGAGAUUAAUACUCUUGGAUAGUGGACGUUACUCGCAGAAUAAGCACCGGCUAACUCUGUGCCAGCAGCCGCGGUAAUACAGAGGGUGCAAGCGUUAAUCGGAUUUACUGGGCGCAAAGCGCGCGUAGGUGGCCAAUUAAGUCAAAUGUGAAAUCCCCGAGCUUAACUUGGGAAUUGCAUUCGAUACUGGUUGGCUAGAGUAUGGGAGAGGAUGGUAGAAUUCCAGGUGUAGCGGUGAAAUGCGUAGAGAUCUGGAGGAAUACCGAUGGCGAAGGCAGCCAUCUGGCCUAAUACUGACACUGAGGUGCGAAAGCAUGGGGAGCAAACAGGAUUAGAUACCCCAGUAGUCC
rnacentral:rRNA from 1 species